UCUUUUCGUCGUGUGUCCAAGGCCAUGGACAUACACAGAGGGUAGGUUGCCCUUCACGGGGUUUAUAUUACCCCCGUAUUCUGAAUGUGCCAUGACUCCA
rnacentral:lncRNA from 1 species